CUCUGUCAGGUGUUUGUUAUCAUUUAGUAUAUGUAGUGCGUAUCAAUAAAAACGCAACGACAAAUGGAACUUUGUUUUGUCUUAUUAUUGAAAUAUUGACAUGGAAUAGUAGCUCCAUAAUUUCAAGGAUUCAGAAAAAUAUUUAUAAUAAGAAUUUGUUCAGGGGAGAAUAUAAUUAGAUAGUCUCGUAGUUAGCGUUCUUGUCUCUAGUGCGAACGAUCGUGGGUUCUAACCUUUGCCAGAUCAAACAAAAGACUUUGAAAUUGGUAUCCGGCUCAACAUGUCAGACUACCACAUAGAAGAUUUUAUUCAUCAUUCAUUUACAUGUUCUCAUCAUGAAUAUGCAUAUAUUAUUACUUCUGUACGUUAAGCAGAAGUCAUUCACCCAAUCAUUAAAGUAAUAUAAUAGAU
rnacentral:lncRNA from 1 species